rnacentral:rRNA from 1 species
CUACGGGAGGCAGCAGUGGGGAAUAUUGCACAAUGGGGGAAACCCUGAUGCAGCGACGCCGCGUGAGUGAAGAAGUAUUUCGGUAUGUAAAGCUCUAUCAGCAGGGAAGAAAAUGACGGUACCUGACUAAGAAGCACCGGCUAAAUACGUGCCAGCAGCCGCGGUAAUACGUAUGGUGCAAGCGUUAUCCGGAUUUACUGGGUGUAAAGGGAGCGUAGGUGGCAAGGCAAGCCAGAAGUGAAAACCCGGGGCUCAACCGCGGGAUUGCUUUUGGAACUGUCAUGCUAGAGUGCAGGAGGGGUGAGCGGAAUUCCUAGUGUAGCGGUGAAAUGCGUAGAUAUUAGGAGGAACACCGGAGGCGAAGGCGGCUCACUGGACUGUAACUGACACUGAGGCUCGAAAGCGUGGGGAGCAAACAGGAUUAGAUACCCUGGUAGUCCACGCGGUAAACGAUGAAUACUAGAUGUCGGGUAGCAAAGCUACUCGGUGUCGUCGCAAACGCAAUAAGUAUUCCACCUGGGGAGUACGUUCGCAAGAAUGAAACUCAAAGGAAUUGACGGGGACCCGCACAAGCGGUGGAGCAUGUGGUUUAAUUCGAAGCAACGCGAAGAACCUUACCUGCUCUUGACAUCCCAUUCGAUAGAGGGUAAUGCCUCUAGCCCUUCGGGGGAAUGGAGACAGGUGGUGCAUGGUUGUCGUCAGCUCGUGUCGUGAGAUGUUGGGUUAAGUCCCGCAACGAGCGCAACCCUUAUUGUCAGUAGCCAGCAGGUCGCGCUGGGCACUCUGAUGAGACUGCCGGGGAUAACCCGGAGGAAGGUGGGGAUGACGUCAAAUCAUCAUGCCCCUUAUGAGCAGGGCUACACACGUGCUACAAUGGCGUAAACAGAGGGAAGCGAAGGAGUGAUCUGGAGCAAAUCUCAAAAAUAACGUCUCAGUUCGGAUUGUAGUCUGCAACUCGACUACAUGAAGCUGGAAUCGCUAGUAAUCGCAGAUCAGAAUGCUGCGGUGAAUACGUUCCCGGGUCUUGUACACACCGCCCGUCACACCAUGGGAGUCGGUAAUGCCCGAAGUCAGUGACUCAACCGAAAGGAGAGAGCUGCCGAAGGCAGGACUGGUAACUGGGGUGAAGUCGUAACAAGGUAGCCGUAUCGGAAGGUGCGGCUG